rnacentral:rRNA from 1 species
AUUGAACGCUGGCGGCAUGCCUUACACAUGCAAGUCGAACGGCAGCACGGGAGCAAUCCUGGUGGCGAGUGGCGAACGGGUGAGUAAUAUAUCGGAACGUGCCCAGUCGUGGGGGAUAACGUAGCGAAAGCUACGCUAAUACCGCAUACGAUCUAUGGAUGAAAGCGGGGGAUCGCAAGACCUCGCGCAAUUGGAGCGGCCGAUAUCAGAUUAGGUAGUUGGUGGGGUAAAGGCUCACCAAGCCGACGAUCUGUAGCUGGUCUGAGAGGACGACCACCCACACUGGGACUGAGACACGGCCCAGACUCCUACGGGAGGCAGCAGUGGGGAAUUUUGGACAAUGGGCGCAAGCCUGAUCCAGCAAUGCCGCGUGCAGGAUGAAGGCCUUCGGGUUGUAAACUGCUUUUGUACGGAGCGAAAAGGCUUCCACUAAUACUGGGGGCUCAUGACGGUACCGUAAGAAUAAGCACCGGCUAACUACGUGCCAGCCGCCGCCGUAACAC